GACGAACGCUGGCGGCGUGCCUAAUACAUGCAAGUCGAACGAACCGCGACUAGGUGCUUGCACUUGGUCAAGGUGAGUGGCGAACGGGUGAGUAACACGUGGGUAACCUACCUCAUAGUGGGGGAUAACAGUCGGAAACGACUGCUAAUACCGCAUAGGACAUAGGAUCACAUGAUCCAGUGAGGAAAGGUGGCGCAAGCUAUCGCUAAGAGAUGGACCCGCGGUGCCUUAGCUAGUUGGUAGGGGCAAGGCAUACCAAGGAGAUGAUGCAUAGCCGACCUGAGAGGGUGAUCGGCCACAUUGGGACUGAGACACGGCCCAAACUCCUACGGGAGGCAGCAGUAGGGAAUCUUCCGCAAUGGACGCAAGUCUGACGGAGCAACGCCGCGUGAGUGAAGAAGGUCUUCGGAUCGUAAAGCUCUGUUGUUAGAGAAGAACAGCGCAUAGAGUAACUGUUAUGCGUGUGACGGUAUCUAACCAGAAAGCCACGGCUAACUACGUG
rnacentral:rRNA from 1 species